CUUUACCUGUAGAAGAGAUAUAACACAUCAGUGAUAAUUGAGGAAAACCCUAUGUGUCACAACACAUAAAAAUGAGAGUGGGAGCUAGGGCACAGAAGUGAGUGACUUGCUAUACUUGCAACCAGAAGCAGGUCCCUUGACCCGCAGUUUUUGUCCUAUUUUACACCAUGCAUUGGCUGGAAAAAAAAGAAAAAGGAAAAGAGGAAAAAGGGAGCCUGGGGAUGAUUGGGAAAGUGGCAGGUGUAGAUCAAAACAGUGGGAAAACUGGGCGUCUCGGGUCUUUCCUAUUAUUACAAGGAACAAUGUGUCAGAGGUGUGUGUCAUUAGGAUUUAUUAUAAUAGCACUAAUAAAAGGCCCAUUUGGGUGCCAUGUUCCAUACCUCAUUAUGUAGUUACUCACUUUGAAGCCCUUUUCCACCCCAUUGAUCUCCCUUAAAAGAAAGGUACAGUCACUUUCACUGGGACUUCUCUGUGAAUUUUCUGCAAAUGACCUGAAAGUGGGUUUUAAGGUUUUGAAUGCAUAUGCGCAUACUAACAAAAUAUGAUGUACUAUCUUGCAGUUCAUUUCAUUCAACCAGGUGUUUGUUAAAUUGCUGCCAUGUGCCUAUCACUGUUCUAAGCACUGAGGCUACAAUACUGAAUAAAGUAGAUAAGGUCCCUUUGAGCAGUUUACAUCCUAAUAAGAGGGAAAAGACCUCCCAAAAAGCAAGCAAACAAAAAAUAUAUAAUUUUAUGGAUUAAAAAAAAACUCUGGAGAGGUUAAGUCAUUUGGCUAAUUAUGGAUUGAUUUAGAUCAGAUUUCUUGGUUUUCUUUUUUUUUUUUUUUUUUUUUUUUUUAGAUUUCUUGGUUUUCAAUCACAUUUUCUCUAGGUGGGCUUAAAAAGCCUCAAACCAGAGAAAGCUGUAGGGUAGUAUCUCUAUCAUGUACUCUGGCAACCUCACAUGUCAACCUCAUGGGCCUUGAACCAAAGGUUAUCUGAAUCUUAGCAGAAUGCUUUGUGAUCCUUCCAGAAGGGCAGAGGAUGGGAAGCUUAUGAGGAUCUUAAGGCAAUCUCUCCUGACAGUUUCUCAUCUCCCAGGUUCUGUUGAGGUGUGGGUUUUCUGCCCUACUCUGUCGGAAUAGAGCUGCAAAAUAAUAUAAGAACCGCUUAGCUACAGUCUAGAAUUGGCUCUUCAGUGGCUGGGUAUCCCACAACUCACAUUGCAGUUGUUUGCCCCUUCUGUUUCAGUAUUCUCUGUUUCUCUGUGGGACAAGGACUACUGGCAGCUGGCACCCUAAUGCAUUCUUCCUUUUGUUGUAUAGAAAGAACAACAGAAGCCAAAGAAGGAGUGUGACUUGCCCAAAGUCACACAGCUGCUUAUUGGCAACUCUCACAUGAACUCCCACAAUCAGUCAACCACAUGUACUAAUCUAGAAGGAAUGGAAGAUUCUUAAAAAGGUCAACAAGGAGAAUGUGCAUGAUUGCCUAUCAAAGGCUGGAAAAAAGCUUUAAGCACUGAGCGUGUGCUUCAUCCAUAACAAGUAUUCAGCAAAUGCCUCCUGUGGCCUGAGAAGAGAGAGAUGGCCCUGGCUUUUCGGGAUGGGAAGGCUGCAUCCAGAAGGCAGGACACACAGACAGUGCUUCAUUUGCAUUUUUAUUUGACUAGUAUUAUCAUAAAAACCUUAGCUUUACUUACUUUAGCUUGGCAAUGUUACCUGGCUCUGCCUUUUUAUGCUCUCUCCCAUCUUUUAGUUUUAUAGUUUACCCGGAUGCUACUCAUUUCCUUAUUUCAAUUUUUUUCUUACUGGAUUUCUCCUGGAGAGAGGGGUCCAUAAAAACUGGCCUUUUUGCAGGAAAAUUUAGAAAUAGCUAAUAAGAUCAUCAGAAAGGACCGACUCUAACUCAUUUGAUGGAUAUGGAAACUCAGGCCAAGAGAAGCUUCCAGUAAGUUAACCGUGGUUAGUUGAACCAGGCUGAAUAGGCCCUCUUCCUUUGGAUCUUUCUUAUGGAGGAUCUGAGGCAAAAUUCAAUCUUCUCGCUUAACAAUAGCUUUUACCUUGUAUGGAGGUCAGCUGAUAAGCCUCAGGUUUUAAGUAUGCUGAUCUGAAAUGAUUUUUACCAUUUAUUACAAACCCACCACCAGAAUGGCUAAAAUUAAACAGAAAAUACCAGGGAAAUAAAGCAACUAGAACUUUGAAACAUUGCUUGCAGGUUUGUAAAUUGAUCAGAACUGUUUAUCUCCUGUGUCAACCAUACUAAAAACAAAAAUAAAAAACAAUUCUGCUUAUCUACUAAAGUAUAACAUAUACCUACCCUAUGACCUAUCAUUUCUAC